rnacentral:rRNA from 1 species
GCCUACGGGGGGCAGCAGUGAGGAAUAUUGGUCAAUGGACGAAAGUCUGAACCAGCCAUGCCGCGUGCAGGAUGACGGCUCUAUGAGUUGUAAACUGCUUUUGUAUUAGGGUAAACACCCCUACGUGUAGGGGCUUGAAAGUAUAAUACGAAUAAGGAUCGGCUAACUCCGUGCCAGCAACCGCGGUAAUACGGAGGAUGCGAGCGUUAUCUGGAUUUAUUGGGUUUAAAGGGUGCGCAGGCGGACCAUCAAGUUAGCGGUAAAAUCGUGGGGCCCAACCCCAUCCCGCCGUUGAAACUGGCGGU